CAGAACGAACGCUGGCGGCGCGUCUUAAGCAUGCAAGUCGAGCGGCGAGCAUCAGCAAUGGUGCCUAGAGCGGCGGACUGGUGAGUAACGCGUGGGUGAUCUACCCUUGGGUUGGGGAUAGCCGCUAGAAAUAGCGGGUAAUGCCGAAUACGGUUAUUUGGCUGCGGCCAGGUAAAGAAAGGAGCUUUGGCUCCGCCCGGGGAUGGGCCCGCGUCCCAUUAGGUAGUUGGUAGGGUAAAGGCCUACCAAGCCUGGGAUGGGUAGCCGGCCUGAGAGGGUGAACGGCCACACUGGGACUGAGAUACGGCCCAGACUCCUACGGGAGGCAGCAGCUAAGAAUAUUCCGCAAUGGGCGAAAGCCUGACGGAGCGACGCCGCGUGGAUGAAGAAGGCCGAAAGGUUGUAAAAUUCUUUUGCCGGUGAGGAAUAAGGCGGGGAGGGAAUGCCCUGUUGAUGACGCAAGCCGUG
rnacentral:rRNA from 1 species